rnacentral:rRNA from 1 species
GUGAGGAAUUUUCCGCAAUGGGCGAAAGCCUGACGGAGCAAUGCCGCGUGCAGGAAGACGGCCCUCUGGGUUGUAAACUGCUUUUAUCUGGGAAGAAAAAGGCCAUGCGUGGCAAAUUGCCGGUACCAGAUGAAUAAGCACCGGCUAACUCCGUGCCAGCAGCCGCGGUAAUACGGAGGGUGCGAGCGUUGUCCGGAUUUAUUGGGUUUAAAGGGUGCGUAGGCGGCUGAUUAAGUCAGCGGUGAAAGACUUCGGCUUAACCGGAGCAGUGCCAUUGAUACUGGUUGGCGUGAGUGUCGGAGGGGUACAUGGAAUUGAUGGUGUAGCGGUGAAAUGCAUAGAUACCAUCAGGAACACCGAUAGCGAAGGCAUUGUACUGGCCGACAACUGACGCUGAUGCACGAAAGUGUGGGGAUCGAACAGGAUUAGAUACCCUGGUAGUCC